rnacentral:rRNA from 1 species
UACAGAGGUCCCAAGCGUUGUUCGGAUUCACUGGGCGUAAAGGGCGCGUAGGCGGCCCGCUAAGUCGAACGUGAAAUCCCCGAGCUCAACUCGGGAACUGCGUCCGAUACUGGCGGGCUUGAAUCCGGGAGAGGGAUGCGGAAUUCCAGGUGUAGCGGUGAAAUGCGUAGAUAUCUGGAGGAACACCGGUGGCGAAGGCGGCAUCCUGGACCGGCAUUGACGCUGAGGCGCGAAAGCUAGGGGAGCAAACGGG